ACUCAAAUGAAUUGACGGAAAUAUAAACAAGCAGUGGAGCAUGUGAAUUAAUUCGAUACAACGCGAAAAACCUUACCAAAUCUUGACUACCUUUUAAUAUUUGAUUUAAUUCAAAUUUAAUUAUUGUAAAAGGAACAGGUGCUGCAUGGCUGUCGUCAGCUCGUGUCGUGAGAUGUAUGGUUAAGUCCUCUAACGAGCGUAACCCCCUUUAUUUGUUAUUUUACUAAAUAAACAGAGAAUAAAAAUUCUAGGAAGGUGGGGAUGAUGUCAAGUCUUCAUGGCCCUUAUGAUUUGGGCAUUACAUGUGCUACAAUGGUAACUACAAAAUGUUGCAAUGGUGUAAAUCAAAGCUAAUCAAAAAAAGUUAUCUUAGUUCGGAUUGUUCUCUGCAACUCGAGAACAUAAAGUUGGAAUUGCUAGUAAUCGUAGAUCAGAACGCUACGGUGAAUUGAUCCCUAUAUUUUGUACACACCGCCCGU
rnacentral:rRNA from 1 species